rnacentral:lncRNA from 1 species
AUUAGCAGUAUUUUAUGUUAUGGUUGUGAAAUAUGGGGCUUCCAUAAAGCUCCAAAUAUUGAAAAAAUACAACUUGAUUUUUGCAAAAACAUAUUAGGUGUCAAACAAUGUACAACAAAUGUUAUGGUUUAUUUUUGAAUUGGGUAGAUAUCCUUUGAUAUAUUUUAGAAUGUACAAAAUAGUGAAGUACUGGUUAAAAUUGUUAUCCACAAGCAACUGUAUUCUUAAAAACUGCUACAGGGAACAACUGUUUAAUUUCUGUAAUAUUAGAAGCAGUUGGAUUUAUCAACUACAACAAUUAUUAUUUAACUUAGGUUUAAAUGAGAUCUGGUAUAACCAAGACAAUUUGAUUAUUGAUACAAAUUUAUUAUUAUUUGUAAAAACAAGG